GGAUGUGAGAGCGACCUGGCUGCAACAUCUGUUAUCCCACUGAUCGCCAGGGUUGAUUCAGCUAGCUAGGUGGGUAUCCCCUUCCUCCCUCACUGCUCUAUGUGCCUCCCCCUCCCAAAGCUGCCUACUCAGUCCAAGAGAGCAAUGAUCCCCUAUAGAGGAGGACCAUUUCUUUGAUCAAGGAUAUACGAGCAGCUGUGCUCCCAUGCUAGACUCUCCAAACAAGCUCUCAUAACACACACGCACACACACACAUGCACACAUGCAUUGUAACCUCUCUAU
rnacentral:snRNA from 1 species